GCCCGGGUGGCGGAAUUGGCAGACGCGCCAGGUUGAGGGCCUGGUGGGGUUUAUACCCCGUGCUGGUUCGAGUCCAGUCCCGGGCA
rnacentral:tRNA from 1 species